UACAGAGGUCUCAAGCGUUGUUCGGAUUCAUUGGGCGUAAAGGGCGCGUAGGCGGCUUGGCAAGUGGAAGGUGAAAUCCCUCGGCUUAACCGAGGAACUGCCUUCCAGACUGCUUUGCUUGAGGCCGGGAGAGGCAAGUGGAAUUCCUGGUGUAGCGGUGGAAUGCGCAGAUAUCAGGAGGAACACCUAUAGCGAAGGCAGCUUGCUGGGCAGUUGCUGACACUGAGGCGCGACAGCGUGGGGAGCAAACAGG
rnacentral:rRNA from 1 species